AUUGAACGCUGGCGGCAUGCCUUACACAUGCAAGUCGAACGGCAGCACGGGGCAACCUGGUGGCGAGUGGCGAACGGGUGAGUAAUGCAUCGGAACGUACCUUUCAGUGGGGGAUAACGUAGCGAAAGUUACGCUAAUACCGCAUAUUCUGUGAGCAGGAAAGCAGGGGAUCGCAAGACCUUGCGCUGAUUGAGCGGCCGAUGUCAGAUUAGCUAGUUGGUGAGGUAAAGGCUCACCAAGGCGACGAUCUGUAGCGGGUCUGCGAGGAUGAUCGGCCACACUGGAACUGAGACACGGGCCAGACUCCUAAGGGGGGCAGCAGUGGGGAAUUUUGGACAAUGGGGGCAACCCUGAUCCAGCCAUGCCGCGUGAGUGAAGAAGGCCUUCGGGUUGUAAAGCUCUUUCGGCCGGGAAGAAAUCGCACGGGCUAAUACCCUGUGUGGAUGACGGUACCGGAAUAAGAAGCACCGGCUAACUACGUGCCAGCCGCCGCCGUAACAC
rnacentral:rRNA from 1 species